UACGUAGGGGGCUAGCGUUGUCCGGAAUCAUUGGGCGUAAAGCGCGUGUAGGCGGUUCGGUAAGUCCGCUGUGAAAGUCGGGGGCUCAACCCUCGGAUGCCGGUGGAUACUGUCGGACUAGAGUACGGAAGAGGCGAGUGGAAUUCCUGGUGUAGCGGUGAAAUGCGCAGAUAUCAGGAGGAACACCAAUUGCGAAGGCAGCUCGCUGGGACGUUACUGACGCUGAGACGCGAAGCGUGGGGAGCGAACGGG
rnacentral:rRNA from 1 species